UUGGUUAUCGCUUACAGAUGGGCCUGCGGCUCAUUAGCUAGUUGGUAGGGUAACGGCUUACCAAGGCAACGAUGGGUAGCCGGCCUGAGAGGGUGGUCGGCCACACUGGGACUGAGAUACGGCCCAGACUCCUACGGGAGGCAGCAGUAAGGAAUAUUGCGCAAUGGUCGCAAGACUGACGCAGCAACGCCGCGUGGAUGAUGAAGCUCUAUGGAGUGUAAAGUCCUGUUAGAAGGGAAGAACAGUACGGAGUCAAAGCUUCGUGCAUGACGGUACCUUCAGAGAAAGCCCCGGCUAACUCCGUGCCAGCAGCCGCGGUAAUACGGGGGGGGCAAGCGUUGUCCGGAAUUACUGGGUGUAAAGGGCGCGUAGGUGGAAUUGUAAGUUAGAGGUGAAAGCCAGCAGCUUAACUGCUGGUCUGCCUUUAAUACUGCAGUUCUUGAGUGCGAAAGAGGGAAGCGGAAUUCUUGGUGUAGCGGUGAAAUGCGUAGAUAUCAAGAAGAACACCGGUAGCGUAGGCGGCUUCCUGGUUCGUAACUGACACUGAGGCGCGAAAGUGUGGGGAGCAAACAGGAUUAGAUACCCUGGUAGUCCACACCGUAAACGAUGGAUACUAGGUGUUGGGUUUCACGACUCAGUGCCGAAGUUAACGCAUUAAGUAUCCCGCCUGGGGAGUACGAUCGCAAGGUUGAAACUCAAAGGAAUUGACGGGGGCCCGCACAAGCGGUGGAGCAUGUGGUUUAAUUCGAUGCAACGCGAAGAACCUUACCGGGGUUUGAAAUGCAGUUGCUCUCCGUUGAAAGACGGAUUUCCUUCGGGACAACUGUACAGGUGCUGCAUGGCUGUCGUCAGCUCGUGCCGUGAGGUGUUGGGUUAAGUCCCGCAACGAGCGCAACCCUUGUCCUUAGUUGCUAUCAGGUCAAGCUGAGAACUCUAAGGAGACUGCCUCGGAUAACGAGGAGGCAGGUGGGGAUGACGUCAAGUCCUCAUGGCCCUUACAUCCCGGGCUACACACGUGCUACAAUGGCCAGUACAACGGGAAGCGAUACCGUGAGGUGGAGCAAAUCCCU
rnacentral:rRNA from 1 species